UACGUAUGUCGCAAGCGUUAUCCGGAUUUAUUGGGCGUAAAGCGCGUCUAGGCGGUUUGGUAAGUCUGAUGUGAAAAUGCGGGGCUCAACCCCGUAUUGCGUUGGAAACUGCCAAACUAGAGUACUGGAGAGGUGGGCGGAACUACAAGUGUAGAGGUGAAAUUCGUAGAUAUUUGUAGGAAUGCCGAUGGAGAAGUCAGCCCACUGGACAGAUACUGACGCUGAAGCGCGAAAGCGUGGGUAGCAAACAGG
rnacentral:rRNA from 1 species